rnacentral:rRNA from 1 species
UACGUAGGUGGCAAGCGUUGUCCGGAUUUACUGGGCGGAAAGGGCGUGCAGGCGGUCUGUUAAGUGCAGGGUGAAAGCUCCCGGCUCAACUGGGAGAGGUCCUUGCAUACUGGCGGACUUGAGGGGGGUAGAGGAAAGUGGAAUUCCCGGUGUAGUGGUGAUAUGCGUAGAUAUCAGGAGGAACACCGGUGGCGAAGGCGGGUCUCUGGGCCGUAACUGACGCUGAGGAGCGAAAGCGUGGGGAGCGAACAGG